CUCUGUAAACCUCAAUUUCCUUUCGCCACAAAGCAGGGAUAAUGACAGCACUCCCCUCACUGGUCAGCUAUCAGAUGGGAGUGAUACGGAAGUGAGGGCACUUAGCUGGGAGCAGCCUGGAGUAGAUGCUCGUAAAUGGUAACCAAGGAUAUUAGUAACAUCAGACGGGCUCUAGUCAAGGGAAGAUCAACUUACUAAACAAUCCAGUGGGUGUCAGAGAAGUUCAAACAAAAUGCAGUGGGAGCUCAAAGCAAGGAGUGAUUGAUUGCCACUGGAGAGAUGAGGGCACUUUCUCAGGGAAUGGGACAGGUUGCCUCGACUUAGAAGGUGAAGGAAAAAGGAGUUUCUCCUUGGAGAAGAAAAUUGAGUGGAACAUUUGUAUCUUUUUUCCCUGGAUUUGCAAGAUGUGAUUCAUGAAGUCAGCUCUCAAUAAAACCCAUAACUGAAUGGACAAAUAUCUAAAGAUAAGUUCAAAGGAAGGGUACAGAGAAGUAAAGGAUUCGGCCAUAAAUCAUUCAUAGGAUUUUUCACACGAGCAGCAUAGAAACAAGGCUGCCACUUUCUCAGAAUCACAAGCCACCAGGGCCACAGGCAAAAGCCUCUCACCCCUGGGGUUACAGAUGGGUAGACUGAGGCUCAAAGAGGAAGAACCCCCCGCCAAGUGGCUUUCUCCCCUCCCAGGCUCAGAAUCUCAGCACUGCACCAAACUGGUUCCAUCACCCUGGAGACAUGAACCUGACAAGUGCCACUAACAUUUUGUGAAGCUGUUUUCUUCCCUGUGAAUAUCGCAGAGCCUCGAUCUCCCUGGGUUUUUGGGAGGAUUACUGAAA